ensembl:lncRNA
GGGGAUUCGAUCCAGCAACCUUUCGGUAACUGGCCCGACGCUCUAACCACUAGGCUACCUGCCGCCCCCUGUCCAUCUUGUUCACCUCACUAGAAUGCUGACGACACAGGAUAGGCUCAGGUUAUUUAAGGUUAUGUAUAUCCAUUACUCAACUGUGAGUUAUUUCUCUGAGUUUAGAGUUUUGAUUCUUCUUUUCUGGCAGCCUCACUUCUCAAGCAUCUUUCAUGGUUUGUGUCUUUUUCCCUGCACACCCUGCAAAAUCAAACAGGAAGCAGAAAGGGACUAAAAAUACAUAUAGAUUAAUGCUGAAUCGGACGAAACCUAGAAAUCCCUCUGCAUUGGAAAGCGAAUGGAGAGGCGGCGAUAUGAAGCUUAAAGUCAAGGCUGGUUUACUACUGCUGAGUUAUGAUGUCUUUAUUACUCAGUUAUUUUGUCCGCAUAUCAACGGUGAAGGUUUAAUCUUUCUUUACAAAAGCAGGCAGAGGCAUUUUCUUACAGGGUCUUGAUCUUUAAAGUUGAGCCAUCGGAAUGGCUGUGAAGAUCAACCCAGGUGAUUUCAACAUGGCUGAUUUAAGUGAGGCGAAAGCUUUAGUGAGAACCUCCAGGGGCUGACUAUCCAUAGGGCAUUUCAGGCCAAUGCCAGAAGGGGCUGGUGAAUUUUUAACCCAGUGGGCCUGUCUAAAUUUGUUUUUUUUUUUUUUUUUUUGGGGGGGAUUAUCAUUUUUGGGCUAAUAAUGAGGUAAUAAGUGGAAGAAAUGGGCCAGUAUGUUCAAAACGCCAGGGUCCAUUUCUGGUUUUGGUCCAUCCCUGAGCACCUCUUGCCCAAACACCAUUCCAGGACUUUUAGUCUCUCUGGCUUAGACGUGUGUGUGUGUGUGUGUGUCAUGCAAAAUAAUUUUGGGACUUUGCAACCAUAGCAUGCCAUUCCGAUUGGAGUCUAAGGUGAGUCUAAGAUGAAGUCAGUGGAACAUGCAUUGAUGUGCACAUUUGGUCAUUGGGGCCUGUAGUGUGACUGCAUUACCAUAGCACAGUAAAAUCUGCAGUAUUAAAUAUUAAAGUAUGCUUUGUUUUGGAAACUCCUGUUGUACAUUGUUUGAGAUUCAACUAAAACUCUAAGCCAGUGAGAAGAACUGUGACAUAGCAAAGUGAAUAAUGUGUUUAUACCCCUUAAACCUGUUUCUACUGUUCACUG